rnacentral:rRNA from 2 species
ACCACUUCGGUGGGGAUUAGUGGCGAACGGGUGAGUAACACGUGGGCAAUCUGCCCUUCACUCUGGGACAAGCCCUGGAAACGGGGUCUAAUACCGGAUAUCACUCCUGCAGGCAUCUGCAGGGGUCGAAAGCUCCGGCGGUGAAGGAUGAGCCCGCGGCCUAUCAGCUUGUUGGUGAGGUAAUGGCUCACCAAGGCGACGACGGGUAGCCGGCCUGAGAGGGCGACCGGCCACACUGGGACUGAGACACGGCCCAGACUCCUACGGGAGGCAGCAGUGGGGAAUAUUGCACAAUGGGCGAAAGCCUGAUGCAGCGACGCCGCGUGAGGGAUGACGGCCUUCGGGUUGUAAACCUCUUUCAGCAGGGAAGAAGCGAAAGUGACGGUACCUGCAGAAGAAGCGCCGGCUAACUACGUGCCAGCAGCCGCGGUAAUACGUAGGGCGCAAGCGUUGUCCGGAAUUAUUGGGCGUAAAGAGCUCGUAGGCGGCUUGUCACGUCGGGUGUGAAAGCCCGGGGCUUAACCCCGGGUCUGCAUUCGAUACGGGCUAGCUAGAGUGUGGUAGGGGAGAUCGGAAUUCCUGGUGUAGCGGUGAAAUGCGCAGAUAUCAGGAGGAACACCGGUGGCGAAGGCGGAUCUCUGGGCCAUUACUGACGCUGAGGAGCGAAAGCGUGGGGAGCGAACAGGAUUAGAUACCCUGGUAGUCCACGCCGUAAACGGUGGGAACUAGGUGUUGGCGACAUUCCACGUCGUCGGUGCCGCAGCUAACGCAUUAAGUUCCCCGCCUGGGGAGUACGGCCGCA